rfam:Ixodes scapularis strain Wikel colony gcontig_1107728901346, whole genome shotgun sequence.
GGCUCGGUGACGCAACGAUAGCGCGUCUGACUCCAGAUCAGAAGGUUGCGUGUUCGAAUCACGUCCGGGUCA